GACGAACGCUUGCGACGUGCCUAAGAAAUGCAAGUCGAACGGGGGAGCGAAUCCCGUAGUGGCGAACGGUCGCGUAACACGUGGGCAACCUGCCCUGGAGCGGGGGACAACAUUCCGAAAGGAGUGCUAAUACCGCAUGUGGACGGUGUCGGCAUCGACAUUGUUCUAAAGAUUUAUCACUCCAGGAUGGGCCCGCGGCCUAUCAGCUAGUUGGUGGGGUAACGGCCUACCAAGGCUUCGACGGGUAGCUGGUCUGAGAGGACGAUCAGCCGGAUUGGGACUG
rnacentral:rRNA from 1 species